rnacentral:rRNA from 1 species
CCUACGGGAGGCAGCAGUGGGGAAUAGUGCACAAUGGGCGCAAGCCUGAUGCAGCCAGGCCGCGUGGAUGAAGAAGGCCUGAGGGGGGUAAAGGACGGUCAGCGGGGAGGAAGGGAGUAAAGUUAAUACCUUUGCUCAUGGACGUUACCCGCAGAAGAAGCACCGGCUAACUCCGUGCCAUCAGCCGCGGUAAUACGGAGGGUGGAAGCGUUAAGCGGAAUUACUGGGCGUAAAGCGCACGCAGGCGGUUUGUUAAGUCAGAGGUGAAAGCCCCGGGCUCAACCUGGGAACUGCAUCUGAUACUGGCAAGCUUGCGUCUCGUAGAGGUGGGUCGAAUUCCAGGUGUAGCGG